rnacentral:lncRNA from 12 species
CUGCAACAGAUUCUGAACCACAAGUUGUGAAAUUGGAUGUUCUUCUUUUCUUCCCAAAGCCAUUUACUUGAGAAAAUUUGCCCUUGACUAAUUUCAGUAAUUCAGAAGAACCUCAGUUCACAAAUUAGAUAUCUUUUCUUUCCCCAUACAGAUAAUUAUACUUUUACUUUUCUGAUUUGUGCAGAGUUACAUUUCAGACUCUUUUUAAGGGGAUUUUUCUAAGAAUAUAUUUUUGAUAUAUUAUUUAGAAAUCACUCACUUACAAGAGAAUUUUAAUUUUCUGACUGUAAAAGACAAGAAGCAUAUGUGAAAUAGUGUGGAGGUGCUGCUGUCUGGUGGCUCAACCCUUGGUAGCUUGCUCAACACUUUGGUGGCUGCAGUUUGAGGAAGGCAUUAUGGAGCUAUCCUAGAAUCAGCACCUCACAUUGGGGACCUGAAACUGAGAGUCACAAGUUGGUCAGUCAUGUGCCCCGGGGCCUCUAUGCCACUGGAACGGAGCCCACUGCACCGUACUCUUCUAUAUUGCUUUUACUAACUAGUUUCUUCAGUAGAACAAAGCUGAAGACUCUAGAUAAACUGAUACAAUUGGGGAUGACAGACCUGUGCAUGUGGGUUGUUGGAUAAACAGAGAAAUAGAGUCAUAGCAACCUGGGUUCUGUGAU